UACAGAGGGUGCGAGCGUUGUCCGGAAUCACUGGGCGUAAAGGGUGCGUAGGCCGCACGGUAAGUCAGAUGUGAAAUCUCAGGGCUCAACUCUGAAAUUGCAUCCGAUACUGCCGUGCUUGAGGACUGGAGAGGAGUCUGGAAUUCAUGGUGGAGCAGUGAAAUGCGUAGAUAUCAUGAGGAAGACCAGUGGCGAAGGCGGGUCUCUGGACAGUUCCUGACACUGAGGCACGAAGGCCAGGGGAGCAAACGGG
rnacentral:rRNA from 1 species